GCCUGGGUGGCUCAGUGGUUGAGCUUCUGUCUUUGGCUCAGGAUCCUGGGAUUGAGUCCCACAUCAGGCU
rnacentral:tRNA from 1 species